rnacentral:rRNA from 1 species
UGCUGAGGACUCUAGCGAGACUGCCGGUGUUAAACCGGAGGAAGGUGGGGACGACGUCAAGUCCGCAUGGCCUUUAUGCCUAGGGCUACACACGUGCUACAAUGGCAAGUACAGAACGAUGCAAUACCGCGAGGUGGAGCAAAUCGCUAAAGCUUGCCCCAGUUCGGAUUGCAGGCUGCAACUCGCCUGCAUGAAGUUGGAAUCGCUAGUAAUCGCGGAUCAGCAACGCCGCGGUGAAUACGUUCCUGAGCCUUGUACACACCGCCCGUCAAGUCAUGGAAGCUGGUAGUGCCUUAAGUCGCCGAGAUUCAUCGGUGCCCGCGGCAAGACUGGUGACUGGGACUAAGUCGUAACAAGGU